rnacentral:rRNA from 1 species
UACGGAGGAUGCAAGCGUUAUCCGGAAUGAUUGGGCGUAAAGCGUCCGCAGGUGGCUAUGUAAGUCUGCUGUUAAAUAGUCUAGCUCAACUAGAUAAGAGCAGUGGAAACUACAAGGCUAGAGUACGUUCGGGGCAGAGGGAAUUCCUGGUGUAGCGGUGAAAUGCGUAGAGAUCAGGAAGAACACCAGUGGCGAAGGCGCUCUGCUAGGCCGUAACUGACACUGAGGGACGAAAGCUAGGGGAGCGAAUGGG